rnacentral:ncRNA from 1 species
GUUAUCAAGAAAGGUUGAGGGAUUAGACCCGUUGAAACCUUAGCAACCCUUUAUAUGUAAAGAAGGUGCUAAAUUCUACUUGAUUUUUUGAUUCGUUUAUCGAAAAUCGGAUAGAUA